AAAGGGAAGAAAUCAUUAAAGCCACAGACAACCAAUAAUACACAACACAUGGAGAAAAUUAAGGGUAACAAUAUUGUUUCAAUUACUGGAUUGACAAAUGAACACGCAACUCAUAUAUAUGCCCAACCUUGAUAAGAGUCAUGCCUCUACAAUCAACUUUGUGGGUAUAGCUAAUUUUACGGGCCUAACCACGAGGAGGAUAAUUGGAAUGGGUGAAUUACGAGAUGGUUUUUAUUACUUUCGGGCACUCAAAAUUCCUAUAACAGCAACCAACUUUACUUAUAAUUUGCAUAUUACUCUAUGGCAUCAAUGUCUUGGACAUUUAUCUUUUAAUGGGUUGUUUUUUCUCAAGGAUUUAGGUCCAUUUUCUUUUAAGUCUUUUAAUAAAUGUUGUGACUCUUAUCAUCGAACUAAACAAGCUUGAUCUUCCUUUCCUGUUAGUGCUAUCAAAACACAUGAACCUUUUAAGUUAAUUCAUUAUGAUGUUUGGGGGCCA